AGAAGAAAGUCCAAACUGGGAGGAGUGUGGUGGUCUGUAAGUGUAAAGUUUCACUGAGCUGCAGCUAAAACAAAACCGGAUGUGAUGAUGUCUUUCAACAUGCUGCUGUGUGCUGUGGUUCUGGUUCUGGCUGUCUCUGUGGAGGCCUCCUCCUCAGGCGGCUACAACAACUACAACUAUGAUCUGUCGGGUCAGGCUCUGACGGAUCUCUACAACUCUCCGGUCUACAAAGAGUGACGCUGGCUGAUAACUCUCAGUAUCUCGUCCAUAAAGGGGACGGUUAUGGGAAAUCCUCCCAGACGGUGGUGACUGAUGCUCGACACAUGAAAUCAGACUGGAAGGUGGAAUCAUCCAGAAACUUCCAGGGAACGAAGACGGUGUCGGACUUUGUGAAAACCGGCGGUUCCAAUUACAACAUGUUUACUGAUAACUGUCACCAGGCGUCUGACCGAAUGAUGAAACAGUGAACGGUUCUUCACUUUUCAACUUUUGUCCAAUCUCACUGUUAAUAAAUGUAAAAAAACAACAACAACAACAACAACUGUGGGUAUUAUUUGUCAUUUUUUGCACUGAAAACACAGCAGGAAGGAAACUCUGAUCCAGUUUAGAUUACAGAUUUAGAGUAGAGAUGAUUACAGAAAGAAAAAGACAACCAUUUCAUCUUACUUUCCUUUUUGUCUGCUUCUGGUCAUAUCAAAGUGCAGAAGAUAAGUAGAAGAAAACUGAUUUACAUUAUAGUGUAUUUCAUGACAAUGACGUGCAUCAGCCUGAAAGAUUUGGUGUCUUUAGAACCUAAAGCCUUUUUCUAUUAAUGAGAAAAACUUAUGACAGAUUUGUCCUGACACACUCUGUAGUCUCCACAUUUCUUCCACCAGUUCUGUAUUCACUGGAUUCCGAACAGUUUCAAGUUGAGUAAACUUCAGUCAGUCUUGUUAAUAGAAACCACAUUUAUCACUUGAGAUAUACUCAGAUGUAGUCACAAAAUUUCUCCAUGUUCCUUGGCGCAUUCCUUGGCGGAGUAAUAAUAAAAAUAUUAAAAACA